GAUGAACGCUGGCGGCGUGCCUAAUACAUGCAAGUUGAGCGCUGAAGGUUGGUACUUGUACCAACUGGAUGAGCAGCGAACGGGUGAGUAACGCGUGGGGAAUCUGCCUUUGAGCGGGGGACAACAUUUGGAAACGAAUGCUAAUACCGCAUAAAAACUUUAAACACAAGUUUUAAGUUUGAAAGAUGCAAUUGCAUCACUCAAAGAUGAUCCCGCGUUGUAUUAGCUAGUUGGUGAAGUAAAGGCUCACCAAGGCGAUGAUACAUAGCCGACCUGAGAGGGUGAUCGGCCACAUUGGGACUGAGACACGGCCCAAACUCCUACGGGAGGCAGCAGUAGGGAAUCUUCGGCAAUGGACGAAAGUCUGACCGAGCAACGCCGCGUGAGUGAAGAAGGGUUUCGGAUCGUAAAACUCGGUUGGUAGAGAAGAACGUUGGUGAGAGUGGAAAGCUCAUCAAGUGACGGUAACUACCCAGAAAGGGACGGCUAACUACGUG
rnacentral:rRNA from 1 species